GACGAACGCUGGCGGCGUGCCUAAUACAUGCAAGUUGAGCGCUGAAGGUUGGUACUUGUACCGACUGGAUGAGCAGCGAACGGGUGAGUAACGCGUGGGGAAUCUGCCUUUGAGCGGGGGACAACAUUUGGAAACGAAUGCUAAUACCGCAUAAAAACUUUAAACACAAGUUUUAAGUUUGAAAGAUGCAAUUGCAUCACUCAAAGAUGAUCCCGCGUUGUAUUAGCUAGUUGGUGAGGUAAAGGCUCACCAAGGCGAUGAUACAUAGCCGACCUGAGAGGGUGAUCGGCCACAUUGGGACUGAGACACGGCCCAAACUCCUACGGGAGGCAGCAGUAGGGAAUCUUCGGCAAUGGACGAAAGUCUGACCGAGCAACGCCGCGUGAGUGAAGAAGGUUUUCGGAUCGUAAAACUCUGUUGGUAGAGAAGAACGUUGGUGAGAGUGGAAAGCUCAUCAAGUGACGGUAACUACCCAGAAAGGGACGGCUAACUACGUGCCAGCAGCCGCGGUAAUACGUAGGUCCCGAGCGUUGUCCGGAUUUAUUGGGCGUAAAGCGAGCGCAGGUGGUUUAUUAAGUCUGGUGUAAAAGGCAGUGGCUCAACCAUUGUAUGCAUUGGAAACUGGUAGACUUGAGUGCAGGAGAGGAGAGUGGAAUUC
rnacentral:rRNA from 1 species